rnacentral:rRNA from 1 species
AUACGGAGGGUGCGAGCGUUAAUCGGAAUUACUGGGCGUAAAGCGCGCGUAGGCGGUUUGUUAAGUCAGAUGUGAAAGCCCCGGGCUCAACCUGGGAACUGCAUUUGAUACUGGAAGACUCGAGUAUAGGAGAGGAAAGUGGAAUUCCGCAUGUAGCGGUGAAAUGCGUAGAUAUGCGGAGGAACAUCAGUGGCGAAGGCGACUUUCUGGCCUAAUACUGACGCUGAGGUGCGAAAGCGUGGGGAGCAAACAGGAUUAGAAACCCCAGUAGUCC